rnacentral:sRNA from 1 species
GACCCUGAUCAGUAGCAGCCCACCACAAA